rnacentral:rRNA from 1 species
UCCAAGGCCUAAUUCCUGCAAGUCGAACGGCAGCGGGUAGGCAAGCUUGCUUCCUAUGCCGGCGAGUGGCGGACGGGUGAGGAACACAUCGGAAUCUACUCCGUCGUGGGGGAUAACGUAGGGAAACUUACGCUAAUACCGCAUACGACCUAAGGGUGAAAGUGGGGGACCGCAAGGCCUCACGCGAUGGAAUGAGCCGAUGUCCGAUUAGCUAGUUGGCGGGGUAAAGGCCACCAAGGCGACAUCGGUAGCUGGUCUGAGAGGAUGAUCAGCCACACUGGGACUGACACACCGCCCAGACUCCUACGGGAGGCAGCAGUGGGGAAUAUUGGACAAUGGGCGAAAGCCUGAUCCAGCCUGCCGCGUGGGUGAAGAAGCCUUCGGGUUGUAAAGCCCUUUUGUUGGGGAAGAAAUCCUGCUGGCUAAUACCCGGCGGGGAUGACGGUACCCAAGAAUAAGCACCGGCUAACUUCGUGCCAGCACCGCGGGAAUACAAGGGUGCAAGCGUUACUCCGAAUUACUGGGCGUAAAGCGUGCGUAGGUGGUGGCUUAAGUCCGUUGUGAAAGCCCUGGGCUC